UGGUGAAGUUCCAUUGCAAGAGAAGGAAUACUCAGGGUACAGUGUGCAUAUUUGCUGAGAAACUCAGUGUAUAUACACCUGUAUUGUGUAUUGCUUAGACAUACUGUCCAAAUGCAGAACAAAGAUAUGAAACAGAUACAAACAUUUCAGUGUAUUCAAAACCAGGCUGGGAAGGGAAGUAUGGUGGAAAUGCUAAAUCAUGGCCCAAAUCAGUGACUGAGCACCUGGUAGGAAGGCAGGGCCAACCCAGGGGACCUCAGGUGUAUGCAAUGUACCUGAGUGACUGGAAGGGGUGCAGUCAGGAUCCACCCCUUCCCAGAUGUCAUUUAAGGGCUGGCAGUGGAGAUAUGAGUAUCUCUUGCUGAAGAUCCUUGCCUACCUGUGGCCUUUUGAAGAUUCCUGUCAGUGAUGUUUUCCAUGCUAGAAUGUCUCCUGUCUCUCAUAAUCAGAGAGUUGAACUCGAUCAUCUCAUUUGUCUGACCUGAACAGGAAUGGCAGACUCAGCCUCACCAGGAAUUCAGCUGAGGAAAUGAAAAUCUCUCUUAUCGGUACUUUUUACUGAUACACUGUAUUGUUUCCCCUGUUGUCAAGUUGAAUGACAAGCCCAUUAAAAGCUGCCUCAACAGUGAACAAAGGGGUGGAAUACACAGGUUGGAGAAAAAUAACGGCCUCUGUCCCAUGAAGAAAAUCAGUACAAGAACAAGAUAUUUGAAGCAAUUCCAUGAUAUGGAGGAUUUUCC
ensembl:lncRNA